CUACCGCACAGGUAUCUAAAAUUGAGUUAAAAUGAUAGUGACAAAAAAGUCAUGAUUUUUAUAAUAGCACAGUGCAUUUCCGUCGGUCGACGAGGACAGACAAACCGCUUUUUUUUUAAUUCUAAAAUAAUAUGUAAAUUAAAGUUAAUUCGGUGUAGGUUGUUUGUAUAUUUUACAUUGACGUCUUCCACGUGGUCUGGAAAUUAUGAAGGAAAACAAAAUCAUGUAGAUAACACCUUCAUGAAUACUAGUACAUUACGUUUGUUCAUACCGUGUAUUCUUUGCCAGACAGAGUGGAUUAAUGAUUACAGCGAUAGCUUUAGAAAGGAAGCGUUAUUGCACGUGACGUCAAAGUACAAAAUAUUGUCCACAAAGGGAUAUUUUGACGACGAAAAGAAAUUUAACGCGGGGUUUGCGGUGGAGCAGUUCCUUUUGAACGGUCGGAUUACUAUACAUGCACUUUCAUGUACGAAUAAUGAUAUUGGAAUUGUAGCGUAACGGAAUAUACUAAGCUGUCCGGAGCUUGGUUAAGUGCUUGUUAUUGAUGGGUACAUUGGUAUACUAAGCAGAUGAAGGAACAUUUUCUACACACGUUUCCGAAACGUGGUGUUUGUUUCAUGAUGCGUCUCUUAAAGUGCAAAGUUAAAAAAUAAACAAUUCUAUGAAGGAUUUUCCUUUGUUGAAUUCAUUUUUAUUUUUAUACACUGCGUUGCGCUCGACCUAAUUGUUUUUUAGAUAUUUUUGGAAGGACUUGUUUACGCCAUACCCUUGAAGUUACGAAACCCUAGUUGGGUCAAAUUGGAGGCAUAACAAAAAACAUUGUAAGUCGCAAUUACGGAUAAAAAGUCGUAAUACUGAGGUAAAAACUUGAAAUUACGACUUUGGAAAGUCAUGAUAACGAGAUAAAAAGUCGUAAUAACGAGGUAAAAAGUCGUAAUAACGAAGUAAAAACUUGUAAUUACGACUUUGGAAAGUCAUGAUAACGAGAUAAAAAGUCGUAAUAACGAGUUUCUGUCUAGAUAAUGACAUAUGUAAUGAGAUACUGAUACUUUAGAGGAACCACAACUGACUUGCAUACCAAACCUUAAUUUAUUUAUUAGAUUAUCAACCCGUUAAUUGAAUUCAUUCUCUUAUUCAAUAUUUUGCUACUUAUCCCUUUAUAAAUUCUACUGAGACUACCCGGGCUUUUUGCAUACAUGCCAACUUUCCCGAUUUGUGCGGGAUUCUCCCGAUUUGAAGCAACUGAAAAGGCAAAUCCCGAUAUCCCGAUCGGGAUUGCAAAAAUACCCCGAAAUCCCGAUUUUCUAAAAAAAAAAAAAAAAAAAAAAAAAAAAUAUCUCCCAUUUUACGACAACAAACCCCCAUUUCCAACCGGAAUUUGAAAUCCCGCGUCAUUUCUGAACUGGCCAAUCAGAAAUCGGGACAAUAGUCAGCCAUUACUGUUUACCUGUGUCGCAUGGUAUUAGGGUGGUUUAAUUUACCUGGUCUGUCUGUGUCGGGGUGCUUAUUGGACAGUGCGAAGCAUGUUUUUAGAUAGUAAUUAAUCGGGAAGACGGAUUUCAAAUUAACAUAUCCUUUACACAAACGUGAAUGACAACGAUGAUAGUGUCACCACCAAACAAUCGGACAUUCCCGAGUUUUGUCUCUCGCUGACAGCAUCCAAAAUAUGUAAUUUAUUUUUCCAACUACAUAUGUAUAAUAAUAUAGGCUAUCCAAAUCUAUAGCGAUGUAUUAUAUAGUCUAUAUAGUGUAGUAUUCAAUAAACUUUGUGAUGAGUAAUUCGCACAAGUCUGUACUGAAUUUUAUAUUAGCAAGUUAAUUUACAAGUAAAAACGUAUAUUUUGAUGUGGGUUUUUUUCCUGGAAAUUAUUUCAGAUGCCAUGGGUGCAACGGUUUUGUUCGCAAAUUUCAUAGCAGGGAUGAUCACUCCUUUUCUGGUUGUAAUGCAGAUUGUUCCACCAGACUUUGCAAGCCCACGUUUACAUACAAGCAAGAUCGCCUUUGUAAUCGUACCUAAAUGCAUGAGCUUUAAUUUAAAUUUUGAUAUAUAGACCAGCCAAUGUUUAUAUGGUGUAAAAGGAUGCAACUUUAAGUAUUAUUUGAUAAUAUGUAGGUGACUUGUUGUUGAAGAGAAUUUUUUGCUGAAUACAUGAUUUUAAUAAAAUAUUUAUGUGUAUCUUUCAAA